AUACGUAGGGAGCAAGCGUUAUCCGGAUUUACUGGGUGUAAAGGGCGUGUAGGCGGGAAGGCAAGUCAGAUGUGAAAACUAUGGGCUCAACCCAUAGCCUGCAUUUGAAACUGUUUUUCUUGAGUACUGGAGAGGCAGGCGGAAUUCCGUGUGUAGCGGUGAAAUGCGUAGAUAUACGGAGGAACACCAGUGGCGAAGGCGGCCUGCUGGACAGCAACUGACGCUGAGGCGCGAAAGCGUGGGGAGGC
rnacentral:rRNA from 1 species